UACGUAGGGGGCGAGCGUUGUCCGGAAUCAUUGGGCGUAAAGGGCACGUAGGCGGCCCUGUAAGUCGGUUGUGAAAGCCCGGAGCUCAACUCCGGAAUUGCAUUCGAUACUGCAGGGCUUGAGGAAGGUAGAGGAGAGUGGAAUUCCCGGUGUAGCGGUGGAAUGCGCAGAUAUCGGGAGGAACACCAGCGGCGAAGGCGGCUCUCUGGGCCUUUCCUGACGCUGAGGUGCGAAAGCGUGGGGAGCGAACAGG
rnacentral:misc_RNA from 1 species